rnacentral:rRNA from 1 species
UGAAGCACGUACGCCAGUAUGUGUGGAGCCGUCCUUGAAAUACCACCCUUGUAGUGUUGAUGUUCUAACGUCGACCCCUAAUCGGGGUUGCGGACAGUGCCUGGUGGGUAGUUUGACUGGGGCGGUCUCCUCCCAAAGAGUAACGGAGGAGCACGAAGGUGGGCUAAUCACGGUUGGACAUCGUGAGGUUAGUGCAAUGGCAUAAGCCCGCUUGACUGCGAGAAUGACAAUUCGAGCAGGUGCGAAAGCAGGUCAUAGUGAUCCGGUGGUUCUGAAUGGAAGGGCCAUCGCUCAACGGAUAAAAGGUACUCCGGGGAUAACAGGCUGAUACCGCCCAAGAGUUCAUAUCGACGGCGGUGUUUGGCACCUCGAUGUCGGCUCAUCACAUCCUGGGGCUGAAGUCGGUCCCAAGGGUAUGGCUGUUCGCCAUUUAAAGUGGUACGCGAGCUGGGUUUAGAACGUCGUGAGACAGUUCGGUCCCUAUCUGCCGUGGGCGUUGGAAGAUUGAAGGGGGCUGCUCCUAGUACGAGAGGACCGGAGUGGACGAACCUCUGGUGUUCGGGUUGUGUCGCCAGACGCAUUGCCCGGUAGCUAAGUUCGGAAUCGAUAACCGCUGAAAGCAUCUAAGCGGGAAGCGAGCCCUGAGAUGAGUCUUCCCUGAUACUUUAAGUAUCCUAAAGGGUUGUCGGAGACUACGACGUUGAUAGGUCAGGUGUGUAAGUGCUGUGAGGCAUUGAGCUAACUGAUACUAAUUGCCCGUGAGGCUUAACCAUACAACACCCAAGGGGUUU